rnacentral:lncRNA from 10 species
UUCAUAUGAACAUUCCCCUAUCCUCAAGAGUAGGACAAUAGUAAAUUCACAGAACAAUUGUAAAUUAACAUAGGUGCUGGCCAAUCUGAAACCAGUAUAUUAAGUGUUCAAGGGGAAUCAGGCUGGGCUCAGUGGCUCAUGCCUGUAAUCCCAGCACUUUGGGAGGCCGAGGCAGGCGGAUCCCGAGGUCAGGAGAUCGAGACCAUCCUGGCC